rnacentral:lncRNA from 1 species
AUGGUCCAGAUGUCGCUGACAAAGGAGGAGUACAGCUGGUUUUCCGACUUCCUCAAAUUCAAGCACUGUCUCUUAGGGGGAAAGAAGGCCCAGCACUUCUUUUUCAAUUCAACAAACACUCAGAUGAAGAACCUGCCUGCCUACCUGAGGGAGGUGUGGAAGGAGAUGGGUCUGCCCGAAUGUCCUUCAUUCACUGACCUGAGGACCUCCAUUGUCACUCAUGUAAAAAACAUGCUCCCAAAGGUUGACAGGGAAAGGGUGGCCAACUUCAUGUGCCACAACAUCCAGACGGCAGACAAAUAUUAUGCCAUGAAUUUAAAUCCAACCCAAGCAAAUGAAACCAGGGCACUCUUUGAGGCUGCACUGAAGGGGGAAGAUAACACAGUCGCCGCAGAGAACCAGCCCUCCACCUCAGGAGAAAGAAAGCAGAAGGUGAGAGAGGAUGCCUCCCUCUCCGACGGGAGCACCACCCCUGAAGAGACCAAGGUGAUGUACCAGGAGUCUGGCACGUCCGCCGGUGACUCGGAAGAGGAGGAAGAGGAUGAAGAUGAGGAACAGAUGGCCAGACAACUUCCAGUAAGAUCAGCUAUUCUGACAGGACACAUUUGAUUAUCAAAAUGUACUUGUAAACUAUGUAACAGUCAAGUGUGAAUUCUGAGAUAUAUCUAAUUUCUUGUGUUUGCUCUGUCAGGAGACACCUUCCAAGGUGACCAAUCCUCAGGUGGAGAUGGAACUUACCCCAAAGAGGAAGCGGAGCAUCUGCACACGCCGCAUGGAGGUCGCCAUCAGCCCCAUGC